UCUAGAGAGCUUAGGGAGCAUAUGGUUUCCUCUCCCAAGUUCUCCAAGCUUGUAUCUGGCUUGGUUCUACCUGAAAGCUCAGUCCUGUGCAACAUUAUUUGGGAGAGCAUCCCACCUGGGAGGAGGCAAGGUGGUCCCAUGGGCCUUCAAGGACCCACGCACCUGUAACAGAUCUCAGCAUGAAUCAAUAUGUUGCUCCAGGUGAUGUUAAAGAGAAAAUCCAUCUGAGUUCAGUGAAAGCAGACCCUGCACUCGGCUCUCGAAUGCCUUUUCCACCCUCUCUCCCCAGGGUAAAGUGUUGAUCCCAAGUGACAUAAAACAUGAGAAGAGGGCAGAUGCCAGGAGCAACAGCUGGGGAAAUGGGAAAGGAGGAGCUGCAUGGAUCAUCCUUGAUUCAGGCCAUGGACUCAAAUAAACAAGAUUUGCCCAUCAGCCAUCCCAGUCUGCCACAGGCAAAGUCACAGCUCAGACUGCAGCCAGAGCUGAGUCAAUGACACUGCUCCUCUGCAUCAACCCUGAGGCAACAUGGGGAAGAAUGGGAAGAGCACUAGGGAAAAGCACCAGGCAUGAGGCAGAUUCCUUUAGAUCCCAAUGUUUUCUCUGACUCCAAGAUUAUGGAUAUUACUGUAGCAUGGACAACCUUCCGCUCCCCCUGGGUUGGGGGGUGCACCCCACGCUGCCUGCAGGCACCAACCAUGUUCCAGCAGGGCCUCCAAGGGAGCAUUAACAAACAACCCCACUUUUAAGCUUUCCUACUGUCUGCUUCUCAGUGGCAUCACAUCAAACAUGCUGGUGGCUGCCAGCCCAGCUCUGCGUGCCCAGCUCGAGUCUCCCGACGCCACGGCCAGGCUUGGAAACAGCCCUUGAGAUGCUGCUGCUUGUCAGCCACAACAAUCUCAGCCUUAACUGCACAAGCACAACCAUAAAGAGGCUCUGACUCUGCAGGUUUCCAGCCCUUUUUUUUCAGGUUUAUCUCUAAAUGCUACGUGCAACUCUGCUGCAAAGGGUUUGUCCUCUUGCCUGGUUGGAGAUCACCUCAAGGUGUGCUUGCCCUGCAAAGGGUGCCCUGUGGUGCUUACACACACACACAGCCACAAAAGUUCAACUGAGCAAGAGAGAUAAAGUGGGUUCAGUGCUUUCUCUUCUGUCUGCCUGCUGUGGAAAUUACAGACCCCCUCAACCACCUGUCUGUGUGGCAGGAGCCACCACACUGGCUCAGACCAAAGGGCAGUUCCAGCAAAAUGCCUCCCAGCUUGUAACAAAUGCCUGUAUGGAAAGCAUAAAAAAAAGAGAAAAUAUGGAGAUAUUCCUGAUUCACUCCCUUGAUCUCUCAGGAUCAGCAAUUCAGAGGUUUCCUGGGUGUAAGGGUGCACUGAGACCAUUGUGUGCCCACCCAAGCAAUGGCCCCUCGCACACAGAUGAGACAUUUUCUCAUACACACAACUUGGCAGGGGUUUUCAUGUCCUGCCAGCUCUCAGACAAGCAACACACUGCAGCUCUGCAGGGAAAAGCCAAAGAAGUGCCUCAGCUGGUGCCAGCUGCGUGCCAUUGAUGCUAAUGGACUUGUUCUGCUUUAUACCAGCUGAUGAUCUCCCUCUUUUCCCUUUCUGCUUUCUCAACAGAUUUUCUGGUGCUCAAUAUAUGAAACAUCCAUCAAAAAGGUGGAUCUAGUCCAGCAAGUGCUGUGACACUGGUUUAUGUCUGUUACAGGAACGUGUAAGAGCACUGCCAUAGGGCUUUAAGAGACCACCAGCCCUGGGAAAGCUUUGUGCUAACCCUCAUUACUUAAAUAUUGGCUUAUUCCUUCAAGAUGGGGCUUUCUAUCCUUUGAAAUCCUUUGGGUUGUUCUCAUCCCUGCCAAUGACUGGGAGCCAUUAUGUCAGGGAAAAAGCAUGGGACAUGCUAUAACCCUUCAUCCCCUGAGCACACUGUCAGUCCCACUAGGGACACUGCUUCUCCAUCCUGCUUUAAAGAAAGCACCUGUGAUUAUUCCCAAAAAAA